rnacentral:lncRNA from 10 species
GUGAAUUGUUACUGCAUUAUAGUCAUUGGUGUCUCCUACUGGAAGUAAACUCCAAAUAUGUUAAUUGUAUAGAAUUCCAACCCAAAUAAAGAAUCAUAGAAGAAUCCCUAGUGUUACUAGAUAUUAACAUUUGCAAUCUUGAGUAAAUUAGAUUAUGAUGUGAAUUGAAUGAAUUUACAGGCAAACCUUGUUAUAUUGCACUUCCUUUUACUGCACUUUGCAGAUACAGUCUUUUUUUAACAAAUUGAAGAUUUGUGGCAACCCUGCAUCCAGCAAGUCUAUUAGCAACAUUUUUUCAACAGCAUAUGCUCACAUCAUGUGUUUGUGUCACAAUUUGGUAAUUCUCACAAUAUUUCAAACUUAAUAUUGAUUAUUAUUAAAUCUAUUUUGGUGAUCUGUGACCAGUGAUCUUUGAUGUUGCUAUUAUAAUCGUUUUGGGGAAUCCCAAACCAAACUUAUAAAAGACAGCAAACUUAAUUGAUAGCGGGAGUGUGCGUUCUGACUGCUCUACUGACCACCGUUUCGCUUGUCUUCUCACCUUCUCUUAGGGUCUCUCUGUUCCUUGAGACAAAACAAUAUUGAAAUUUGGCCAAUUAAUAACCAUACUGGGGCCUCUAAGUGUCCAAGUGAAAGGAAAAGCUGCAUAUCUCACCUUUUAAAUCAAAAGCUAGAAAUGAUUAAGUUUAGGUAGGAAGACAUGUCAAAAACCAAGAAAGGCCCAAAUUAGGCCUCUCGCACCAGUUAGCCAAGUUAGAAAAGCAAAGAAAAAGUUCUUAAAGGAAAUUAAAAAGUACUACUUCCGUGAAUACAUAAAGAAUAAGCAAAACAGCUUUAUUGCUGAUAUAAAGAAAGUUCGAGUGAUCUGGGUAGAUGAUCAAACCACAAUAUUCCCUUCAGACAAAACCUAAUUGAGGGCCAGUAUUAACUCUAUUGAAUUCUAGGAAAGUCAAGAAAGGUAAGGAAGCUACAAAAGAAAAUUUGAAGCUAAGAGAAAUUAGUUCAUGAGGUUUAAGGAAAGAAGCUGUUUUUAUAACAUAAAUGUUCAAGAUGUAAUAGCAAGUGCUGAUGUAGAAGUUGCAGCCAGUUUUCCACAAGAUCUAGCUAAGAAAAUCAAUGAGGGGGGCUACACUAAACAACAGAUUUUCAAUGUACAUAAAGCAGCUUUCUAUUAGAAGAAUAGACCACCUAGGAGUUUUAGAGCUAGAGAGGAAUCAAUGCCUGACUUCAAAGCUUCAAAAAAUAGGCGGCAAGUUGGUGGAAUAGUAAGCCACCAAGGGCUACAGCUCUCUGUGACUCCAAGUGAAGUUGAAAAGCAUUCUAGGCCAUAAGAACUGCAACUCUUAGGUGAGUCCUACGGCUGAACUAGGCCCAGAGAAGGGUAACUAGGGAGUCACAUGACGUACUGAGAUAGAAGCUGGGGUAGCCAAAGGAGUUCCGGCAAGGGAGUUCCCCUAACCUCAGGCUGCACACCUCAGAGCUCCAAAAGCGACUCUUCCCUUCUGCAUGAGGGGAGCAAAGGGAAGAGCAGAUAGGACUUUGUUUUGCAUUUUGGAUACCAGUUCAGCCACAGAAGAACUCUGGACACCAGCCAGAGUUGUGAGGUCCCUGUUCCAAGCCCUAGCUCCCAGAUGACAUUUCUAGACAUACCCUGGGCCAAAGAGAAUCUGCUGCCUUGAAGAAAAGAACCCAGUCCUGGCACCAUUCAUCACUUGCUAGUUAAAGAGUCCUUGGACCCUGAAUAACCAGCAGUGAUACCCAAGUCCUACAUCAAGGGCCUUUGUGAGCCUCUGAAACUUGCUGGCUUAAGGUAUCAGCAUGCCCACAGCAGGGUGGAGCACCAAGCAGCGUGUUGGAAUCCCUGAUUCUAGGACUAAAGUCUUAGAUGGCAUUUCUGGACCUGCCCUGGGCCAGACGGGAGCCCACUUCCCAGAAGAAGACAGGCUUGAAGAAGGGCAUUUCACUGGAAGCACUAUUACUUAUACAACUUAAAGAGCAAUGCAAUCAUGCUGAAGAGCAUUGACCAAGUUAUUAUCUUCAACUCUCUCAAAGGGUGAAGAGAGAAAAGCAACACUGAGUCAACUGGCUGGUUUUUCAUCCCUUUCUCUUCUUCAGUUGUGGGCUGGAGAGAGAUGUAAUUCCAGGACAUUGGCCAGCCUUUUGUUAUGUGGAUACGCUUUACACAACUACAGUUUAUCCAUCAGAAUGAAAUACAGACAAAAGCUGAGGAAAUCAGUCUUCUUAAUAGAUAGAAAGUGAUCCUUUCUGCCUCCAAAUAAAACUGAAUUAUAACAUUCUUCGUAUUUCUCUGGGUACACAUCUGGUUUAAAAAUUAGAAGUUAAAUUUUAAAAGUAGGCAGAAGUUUGUAUUUAGAGAAAGACAUUUUAACUGUAAUAGUGAUCAUUAUUUUAAUGCUUAUAAAGUCCAAUCAAAGAUAAAUGUCAAACCAUAACUGAAUAUAUUGUGUGCUGUGUGAGAGAUGAAAUACAUAGAGAAAAUCCACUUUAAAUGGUAAAAAAAAAGAAAAAAUAUAUUAUGGCUUUUUUCUAGGGAAUAUUCUGUAAAGAGAAUGGCAAAGCUGUGCAUUGAAGAGCCAACUUCAAAAAGGUGAAUAAAUAGUGGAA